GUAGCUCCCUGGGCGCUUCGAAGAUCCAGCGGCUUGCUGUGAGUCCGGGAGGCAAAAUUGUACCCAUUUCAAAGAUGUGAUGACUAAAGUCUCGAGAGGGCCAAGGCUCGCCCAAGGUUGCUCUGUGGUGACAGCUUUACCUCCUUGCUAUGUAUUCUCAGAUAUUGCAAACGGACGAGAGAAAAGUGGAGAAAUGCUAGGAACACCUGAAAACAGGCCCGCGGGAGGAAAAGGGAAGAAAAAGCCAUCACCCAAAGGCUGCCUCCAGGGUUAGCGCUGCUCCCCAGGCCCCUGCGCUCCACAAGUGUCCGAUGAGAAGCAAUGCAGUGUCCAUCGAUGGAGGAGCAAGAGAGCCGGCGCCUCUCAGGCUUCCAAGAAUGAAUCCUGGAGAAAACAAGGUCGUUCGACGAUUUCGACACGUCGCAUCCCUGAGAGUCUCUCGUGUCCUGAUCAACUCGAGAACUGGAGGCGGUGACAUUUUAGAUGCUGCAGUGAAAGCCACAGAGCCACGGAAGGCCGAGACUCCACCAUGUUUGUGAUCUUCACAUUCAGCAAACUCACUCGCACUCUGCCUCAUCUUAUCUCUAGAAUGUAUUUUACCACACUGUGUCCCUUCUUUAGUGGGAAUGUCUUUGGCCAAAAAUAAUGAAUAGUUCUGACCUGACUUGCUAAUACCCAGUGAUAAAAGGAUGGAAUUUGUUGGGAAUAAAAGAAAACUAAGCUUACAAACGAGGGCCCUGAUGCUCCGUUCCGAGCUUGGUCAUCUAAUUUCCAGC
rnacentral:lncRNA from 10 species